rnacentral:rRNA from 1 species
GAUGAACGCUAGCGAUAGGCUUAACACAUGCAAGUCGAGGGGCAGCAUGGUCUUAGUUUACUGAGACUGAUGGCGACCGGCGCACGGGUGCGUAACGCGUAUGCAACCUACCUGCCAGAGGGGGAUAACCCGGCGAAAGUCGGACUAAUACCGCGUAAAACAGUUGUCUCGCCUGGGGCAAUUUGUUAAAGGAGCAAUCCGCUGGUAGAUGGGCAUGCGUAACAUUAGCUAGUUGGUGAGGUAACUGCUCACCAAGGCGACGAUGUUUAGGGGUUCUGAGAGGAAGGUCCCCCACACUGGAACUGAGACACGGUCCAGACUCCUACGGGAGGCAGCAGUGAGGAAUAUUGGUCAAUGGUCGGAAGACUGAACCAGCCAAAUCGCGUGAAGGAUGAAGGUAUUCUGUAUUGUAAACUUCUUUUAUAAGGGAAUAAAGUGCGGCACGUGUGCUGUUUUGUAUGUACCUUAUGAAUAAGCAUCGGCUAACUCCGUGCCAGCAGCCGCGGUAAUACGGAGGAUGCAAGCGUUAUUCGGAUUUAUUGGGUUUAAAGGGUGCGUAGGCGGAAGUAUAAGUCAGCGGUGAAAGUUUGUGGCUCAACCAUAAAAUUGCCGUUGAAACUGUAUUUCUUGAGUGUAGUAGAGGUUGGCGGAAUUCGUAGUGUAGCGGUGAAAUGCUUAGAUAUUACGAAGAACUCCGAUUGCGUAGGCAGCUAGCUGGACUAUAACUGACGCUGAAGCACGAAGGUGCGGGUAUCAAACAGGAUUAGAUACCCUGGUAGUCCGCACAGUAAACGAUGAUAACUAACUGUUUGCGAUAUAAUGUAAGUGGUACAGCGAAAGCGUUAAGUUAUCCACCUGGGGAGUACGUUCGCAAGAAUGAAACUCAAAGGAAUUGACGGGGGCCCGCACAAGCGGAGGAACAUGUGGUUUAAUUCGAUGAUACGCGAGGAACCUUACCCGGGCUUGAAAGUUAGCGUCGAGUGGUGAAAGCCAUUUUCUCUUCGGAGCGCGAAACUAGGUGCUGCAUGGUUGUCGUCAGCUCGUGCCGUGAGGUGUCGGCUUAAGUGCCAUAACGAGCGCAACCCUCAUUGUUAGUUACCAUCAGGUCAUGCUGGGGACUCUAACAAGACUGCCAGCGUAAGCUGUGAGGAAGGUGGGGAUGACGUCAAAUCAGCACGGCCCUUACGUCCGGGGCGACACACGUGUUACAAUGGACAGGACAGCAGGUCGCAAAGCGGUGACGCCUAGCCAAUCCUGAAACCUGUUCUCAGUUCGGAUCGAAGUCUGCAACCCGACUUCGUGAAGCUGGAUUCGCUAGUAAUCGCGCAUCAGCCAUGGCGCGGUGAAUACGUUCCCGGGCCUUGUACACACCGCCCGUCAAGCCAUGGGAGUUGGGGGUGCCUAAAGUACGUAACCGCAAGGAUCGUCCUAGGGCAAAACCGAUGACUGGGGCU